rnacentral:rRNA from 1 species
CAGUCGCCACGGUAAUACGUAGGGUGCAAGCGUUAAUCGGAAUUACUGGGCGUAAAGCGUGCGCAGGCGGUCCGCUAAGACAGAUGUGAAAUCCCCGGGCUUAACCUGGGAACUGCAUUUGUGACUGGCGGGCUAGAGUAUGGCAGAGGGGGGUAGAAUUCCACGUGUAGCAGUGAAAUGCGUAGAGAUGUGGAGGAAUACCGAUGGCGAAGGCAGCCCCCUGGGCCAAUACUGACGCUCAUGCACGAAAGCGUGGGGAGCAAACAGGAUUAGAUACCCGUGUAGUCCCUGUCUCUUAUAC